GUGGGGGGGACUCUCCAGGGACAUCAUGCGUCACAGAGCAGGGAAGAGGGGGUGGUGAAGGCAGGCAUGAGCAGGUAGGAGAAUGUCACCCUGUCACUGAUGUCAUAGGGCAGAACUGGGGAUCGAGAGAACAGAAGUCAAGGCAUGGAAAGGGUCAGGUGACUGUCUUGCCCUUCUCACCUCCUUCUCGGGGGACACAGACGGCCCCAUCUAGCUACCAGGAGAGCUGUUUACAUGGAAUCCAAGUUGCCUGCCAGGGGCAGAGCACGUUUUUCCACAGCUGCUGAGAAAGACGAGUGAGUCAAGACAGAAUAACAAAAAGCCACUUCAAAAACACACCAGAAGAAGUACGAAGCUGAGACAAUCACAGGACAAUAGAGCCCAUUGAAGAGGAGCCUGGAGUUGGAGGUAUUGGCUCAAGUCCCUCCGACUGUCAUUCAGUUGCCAUGAGACUUUAGUGUGGAUCGUGUCCCCAGGCCUGCGUGUGAGAAAGAUCAGAGUUUAGAAUUAGAGGCUUUUCCAAUGAUGACGUGUACUGUGGGGCCUUAGACUCUGGUCUCACUUGGGCAUGAAGGUGCUCACUUGUGAUCCCAGCACUUGAGACGAAGAGGCAGGAGAAUCCGGAGUUCAAGGUUAUCCCGCAUAGUAAGUUCAAGGCUAAUGGGCUUGUCUUAGUCAGGGUCUCUAUUCCUGCACAAACAUCAUGACCAAGACAAAUUGGUACCAGGAGUGGGGUAUUCCUGUGACAACCUGACCAUGUUUUGGGGAGGACUGUGGAAGGAC
rnacentral:lncRNA from 1 species